UUGUGUUAAAGUUCUUUUAGAAUUUGUCGAGCAGGUUUUCUGGUCCUUACCAGAAGACCCCC
ensembl:snRNA U7 U7 small nuclear RNA